AACGAACGCUGGCGGCAUGCCUAGCACAUGCAAGUCGAACGAGAUCCUUCGGGGUCUAGUGGCGCACGGGUGCGUAACGCGUGGGAAUCUGCCCUUAGGUUCGGAAUAACAGUUAGAAAUGACUGCUAAUACCGGAUGAUGACGUUAAGUCCAAAGAUUUAUCGCCUGAGGAUGAGCCCGCGUAGGAUUAGCUAGUUGGUGUGGUAAAGGCGCACCAAGGCGACGAUCCUUAGCUGGUCUGAGAGGAUGAUCAGCCACACUGGGACUGAGACACGGCCCAGACUCCUACGGGAGGCAGCAGUGGGGAAUAUUGGACAAUGGGCGCAAGCCUGAUCCAGCAAUGCCGCGUGAGUGAUGAAGGCCUUAGGGUUGUAAAGCUCUUUUACCCGGGAUGAUAAUGACAGUACCGGGAGAAUAAGCCCCGGCUAACUCCGUG
rnacentral:rRNA from 1 species